rnacentral:rRNA from 1 species
GGCGAACGGGUGAGUAACACGUGGGUGAUCUGCCCUUACUUUGGGAUAAGCCUGGGAAACUGGGUCUAAUACUGGAUAGGACCAUGCUGUAGGUGGUGUGGUGGAAAGAUUAGUUUCGGUAAGGGAUGAGCUCGCGGCCUAUCAGCUUGUUGGUGGGGUAAUGGCCUACCAAGGCGUCGACGGGUAGCCGGCCUGAGAGGGUGGACGGCCACAUUGGGACUGAGAUACGGCCCAG